AACGCACGAGACCUGCGGACCUGCGGAGGGAUCAUUAUAGAGUGGUAAACCCUCUGUAAAAGGGGGGGACCUCCUGUCCUUUGUAGGCUCUUUUUUAAAGGGCUUUUUUUAAUUUUCUGCUUCGGUGGGGUUAUCCCACCGGAACAACCUCAAAACUCUGAUCAAAAAAUCGUUCUGUCUGAGAACUUUUUAUAAUAAAAAAAACUUUUAACAACGGAUCUCUAGAUCGGAAGAGCACAC
rnacentral:misc_RNA from 1 species